rnacentral:lncRNA from 1 species
UCAAUUUGUUCUUGAGUAGGAUUCAGCUAAUCUCCGAAUAUCCCUUGAAUAGAUUCUGGAGAUUACUCCAUUAGGAGCCCCAAAAGAGAGAUAAUGAGCCUCGAGGUACCGAAUCCACUUAGAACAAAUUUGUGUGUUUUAAGAGUUUAUCUUUUUAUUGAUUUCCAUUGAUUCCUUUUACAUAUUUUAUACAUAUUUUUUCUUUUACAUAUUUUAUACAUAUUUCUCCCCCUUUUACAUAUUUUAUACAUAUUUCUCCCCCUUUUACAUAUUUUAUACAUAUUUCUCUCCCUUUUUGUCAUCAUAUCAAAAAGGAGGUAAACAGAAC